AGCGAACGCUGGCGGCAGGCCUAACACAUGCAAGUCGAACGGACCUUUCGGGGUUAGUGGCGGACGGGUCAGUAACACGUGGGAACGUGCCUUUAGGUUCGGAAUAGCUCCUGGAAACGGGUGGUAAUGCCGAAUGUGCCCUUCGGGGGAAAGAUUUAUCGCCUUUAGAGCGGCCCGCGUCUGAUUAGCUAGUUGGUUGAGGUAACGGCUCACCAAGGCGACGAUCAGUAGCUGGUCUGAGAGGAUGGCCAGCCACAUUGGGACUGAGACACGGCCCAAACUCCUACGGGAGGCAGCAGUGGGGAAUCUUGCGCAAUGGGCGAAAGCCUGACGCAGCCAUGCCGCGUGAAUGAUGAAGGUCUUAGGAUUGUAAAAUUCUUUCACCGGGGACGAUAAUGACGGUACCCGGAGAAGAAGCCCCGGCUAACUUCGUG
rnacentral:rRNA from 1 species